AUAUUGACUCUCUAAACACGGAACGUGGGCCCACAGUUUAUUAAAAGCAAUUGUGUGUCUCCUCUGUCUAGCCAAGUGCUUGGGCUCUUACACAACUCUCCAGGACCAAGCUUCAGGCAUGCUCCUUGUAAGCAAAGCUGUUGCCCACCAGCCCAGUUCAUGUAGAGCCUCUGAUACCCCACAGUGACCCUUUUCUGGAAUGUUCACUGGUCACUUAGUCAUGCACCAUCUGGUGAGACCUGAUUUUACCAUUUGCGGUGGCUGAAAACCAGGCCGAACAAGGACUUGCAUCCUGCCUAUCCAGGGAUGGAAGUCUCAACUUGCCUGAUCUCAGGCAACACUUGCUACAUCCCCAUAAUCAUCCUUUUUCUGAGGACAUGACAAGCAAGUUUCUGUUGAUCCGCUUUUUAAAACUAUCAACAAUAUUAACUCUUGAAUAUUAAAACAAUGG